CGAGUUUGAUCCUGGCUCAGGAUGAACGCUAGCGGCAGGCUUAACACAUGCAAGUCGAGGGGUAUAGUUCUUCGGAAUUAGAGACCGGCGCACGGGUGCGUAACGCGUAUGCAAUCUACCUUUCACAAAGGGAUAGCCCAGAGAAAUUUGGAUUAAUACCUUAUAGUAAUACGACUUGGCAUCAAGAUGUAUUUAAAGAUUUAUCGGUGAAAGAUGAGCAUGCGUCCCAUUAGCUAGUUGGUAAGGUAACGGCUUACCAAGGCUACGAUGGGUAGGGGUCCUGAGAGGGAGAUCCCCCACACUGGUACUGAGACACGGACCAGACUCCUACGGGAGGCAGCAGUGAGGAAUAUUGGACAAUGGGCGCAAGCCUGAUCCAGCCAUGCCGCGUGCAGGAUGACGGUCCUAUGGAUUGUAAACUGCUUUUGUACAGGAAGAAACACUACUUCGUGAAGUAGCUUGACGGUACUGUAAGAAUAAGGAUCGGCUAACUCCGUG
rnacentral:rRNA from 1 species